GCUUUCUUUUGGCCGUUGGCUGGGUCUUCCAAGCUUCCGGGACAGCGUCAAGGAGGCGUGGCCGCUGUCUUGAGGACAAGUCCUCGAUGUGCCCUCUGACGCUGGCACGAGCGUGUUCUGGACCCGUGCCGUGCCCCCAGGCAGCUGGGGAGUUGUCUGCCGUGUAGUCCGGCGGCCACCAGGAGAAUCUGACCCAGUGUCCUGGAUGGGCCAGUUCCCAGUCGUGCGCUCGUGGCCCAGACCAGACCCGGGCUGGUGUGUGGAGCCAGCCACGCGGGCCCGUCUGUCCUCCGUGCCCUGAGUGGGCGCAGAUGAGAGAGGGCGCGGUUGCUCCGUCCGCUUUUCUCCCCUCUCGCCCCCGUGCGGGGAGCCGUCCAGCGGGGCCUGGCUGGACUGAGCCCGUGCCGGACACGGUGCUCAGUUGCCGUCCUGGAGGGCCCAGAGGAUUGCUCGAGGUGUGCCCACCAGGCCCCUCCCCUGAGACAGGGGGCUGGCUGGGUGCCGUCAGGCUCUUUCUUGGCUCCCCCUGGAACCCGGAGGUGGCCCUUGCCUGGUUCCUGGAUCCUUUCACUUCCCCUUCCUCGUCGCCUUGCCGUGUGGAAGGGAAGGGCCGCUCUUAGCCCGCCAGCCCUGGCCAAGGAGGGGAACCCACUUGGAGGGUGGGGUGGCACCAAGGCCUUGCGCGGCCCAACGCACAAGGGGGGAUGGCGGGCCCUCGCCCUGGCCCCGGUGCCACCAGUUUCCCUUGGUCGGGAUUCUUUGUGGCCUAGGCAGGCAGGCGCCCAUGCUGUCUCCGCACUGACCUAGGCACCCACCCACAUGAGGCGUCGGGAGGUGUGGGGCCGGGAGAACAUUUCUCUGCCUGGUUUCCUAGGCGGAGGCAGGUGUGUUGUCGGCAAAGACCCUCACUCAGGCCAAGUGUGUGAUGUCUCUUCUUCUUCCGCAGACGCCGAGCCCGGCACCCGGGAACCUGUUCCGGACGUGCCGCUCCCAACCAUGACUCCCAGCACCGAGGCUGACCACGACCACGACCACGACCACGACCACGACCACGACGCCGAGCCCGGCACCCGGGAACCUGUUCCGGACGUGCCGCUCCCAACCAUGACUCCCAGCACCGAGGAGGCUGACCACGACCACGACCACGACCACGACCCCGACCCCGAGCACGACCACGACCACGACCACGACCACGACCACGACCACGGUAGGGGCCCGUGUGCCUUGUGUCCUCUGCCCCUGGGAGCCCGCUGGGUUGCCGGGGCUCCUUGAGCGAGAACGGGCUUUCCUAUUGCCUCCGGGACCGGGAAGGUGUCGCCAUGCGAUUCCUUGUCCCGAAACGCUGGCCUGUGCUCUGGAGCUGCGGGGACGUCCUCGGGGCUCUGCCCGGGAAGGAUGUGCUCUCUGGGGAGAGAGGGGCCGCGGUGCGAGUCAGGCGCUCCGAGACGGGGCCGUGUGUCCUCCCGGGUGCUCUGGUUGGCUGCACGCUGCCUGGGCCUGUCCGCAGGUUGUCCGUUUCUCUGCGUGGUGGUCUGCUGACCCGUGCGGGAGGGGCGUAGGCUUCUCGCCCUCCACGUCUGCUCCCGCCAUGACCACCCGGGGGUCUGGUGCAGCACUCCCAGCCGCAUGCCUGG
ensembl:lncRNA